GCGACGUUCCGGAGCAGAACGUUGGAGGCCUGAACGUUCCUUUCUGGUAGCGAGGUACAAGGCGGCGAGGAGCGCAGUUGGCAUCAUGCCUCUCAAAGUCAAGGUGGUUUAUUGUGGGGCCUGAGGAUACAGUCCCAAGUAUCAGCGGCUCAAGAAGGAACUCGAGAAAGAGUUUCCGGGCAAGCUGGAAAUAUGUGGUGAAGGGACUCCUCAGGUCACAGGAUGGUUUGAAGUGACAGUCGGAGGGAAGCUGGUGCAUUCCAAGAA